rnacentral:lncRNA from 1 species
UCUUUCGAAACAUAGCCAUGAGGUAGAGUGGGAUUCAUUAGCCUCUUUUUCGUAUCCGGGGUAAUGAAAUGCUUGCUAUCUAUAACGUCGGAUGUGUUCCGGUACAAGUUGUCUAUAGCCUUAACACAAGUGCUACCGGCAAGAAGAUGCUCAACUCCUCCAAGUGGGAUGUAGAGGAAACUAAACAGAAACUCUACAAACUGUUUAUUAGCUUGAGCAUACACAACCUUACCAGUAGAUUGUUGUAUCAUCACUUUCAAACUUAAAUUCCUAGAGUUAUUGGGAUUCUCUUCGUCUCCACUGUGUGGUUGAGACACCAUGAGUGUAGAGUAAAUCAGCUGUGUUGUUUUAUUUAGGAUGAUGUCCGACAAUGGAGUUGGGGACGUCAAGGAUGCCUUCAACAAAUUCAUAACCUAAUAGAAAUUAAGAGAUAACAAGUUAAAGAAAAUUUAGUGGGAGAUAUAAUAUAAAACAACCUUUAAUAACUUUGUUGUCUAUAGCUUAAUAGACAACUACUUUACUAUAUAUCUUUAAAUGUUGUCUAUGUUAUAUGUCUAUAUACGUUUUUCACGUAGUGUGGAAACAAAUUAAAAUUACCUCAUUGAAGCCCAAAUCCACUUUGAUUUGCUCGGCGUUAUCCAUGUCUGUAAUGCCAAGAAAGCUAAUGAUUCCUAAGAAUCCUGUCUCAUUUGGAAAUAUGUGGAGAUCAUCAGAGAUUAUGAAAGAUGAUGUAUUCAUGGUGAAAACUCCAUCUCUAGAUGCAGCAGCUUCAGACCCUUUCUUACCUACUUCUUUAAUCAUACUAUCAUGUAAGCAAAUUUUGCACCUAUUGACAUGAUCAUAGUAGAUGCUUAGGCUACGAAAUCUAUUAGGCUGAUGAGUGUGAUACCGAAUGAUGGGAUAUUUACUACAAUAGAAAUAUUCAGCAGGCUGAAAAUCAGUGAUAUCGAGUUUCAGCCUCCUGUAUUCAUCUUCCAAUGAACUUGUUGGAUCAAGCAGAGUCUGCUUAGCUCCAUCAGUCCAGAAAUAUGCACUGUCGAGAUUUACUAAGCUACGGUACAAACUGCUUAAGCUACCAAUGGUAGGCGCCUCGUCUCCAUAGUGCUUCUCGAGGACUUUCACAAUUCUUCCCAAUGGCAAACUCAAGAAGCUUAACAAAAUGUCUGCAAAAUGGCUGUCGGAGUCUGCGAAGAGCACCUUAGUUCUCUCUUUAUUGAUCAUCACUUUCAACGAAAAUGUCGCACCUUUUUUAUCAUCAGCCAUUCUUGAAAUAUAUAUAUGUGGUACAAACAAAGAAAUAUUUGAAUAAUGUAAACGAAAGAUUUCAGCAAUCCCUGCAAUUUUAUGGGGGAAGAAGUUAACCUAAGAGUCGUUAGUUUACUCCCUCCAAAUUAAUUGGCAAAUUCCAAGACUCUCUACAAAUUCCAAGAAUCGUUACAAAAAUUAACCAAGCGCCACUAGUCCCACCAAAUUUCAAGAUCCAUCCGAUUUAUUUGAUUAAUUUCCCGAUUUAUUUAUUCCAAAAAAAUAGAUUUUAUUUUAGAUUGAAAAAGUGAAGUAGCAGUACCUCUUCCAAAUAAGUGUCAAUUUGUCCAACAAAAUUCCAAGAUUAUCUGCAUUGAUCACUCUCCCUUUUUACGAGUCACAGAAAUUAACCAAACGUUGCACCAAAUUCCAAGACCUUCUAGAGUCGAGAAGAAUAAUCUGCUUAACUGUAUAUAUUGGUAUUUAUCAUACGAGAAUAAUUAGAAAGUCAAAUCAACAAUAUGUAUUCUUGUGCUAAAUAAUACUAAACACUAGAUUGAUCUGUACUAAAUUAGCUAAUACAGUGUAUUAGCCAAUAUCAAACACGCACUUAGUUUAGUUUGGCUUCUAUUUAGUGUUGAACAAUAUAUAUUCUUGUGGUUGAAUGUAUUUGCGUUGUGAUUGUCUAUUCAUUUAAGCAGUUUGCAAUAGCUUUGGUGCUUGUAUUGUUGUGCAAAUUUUGAUCUUGUUUUAGUGAUUUCACUACGGAUCAAUGUUUUUGUUCAUUUUGAUAUUGUUAUGCAUCUGUUUCCUUUGUUUAAUAUUGCAGAACUUCGACAUAAUGAGGCUCUUUCUAGUAGUAUAUAAAGUUGAUUUUAGAGGAAAGAUAAGGUUGAAAAUAACAGAAUUUGUGCAAGUUUGAUUCUAGUUAUAAAGGAAAAGGUCCAAAUGAACAAAACACAUAAAUUAAGUCAUUCCAAAAGGGAAAAUGAAAACUUUGCAAACAGACAAAAGGUCCAAAUGAAGCACUGCACCAAACAUAAUUUAAAAUAAAAAUGAAACACCAUAGCUAUUAAAAAACAAGCUGAGUUUGCAACAUGUAGGAGCAGAAAAAACAUAUUAGGAAGCAUGGAUCACAGUCAGUCUUCUUCUCUCUUAGGUUGUUUGAGCGAUUUGUGAGUCAAGAGAGCAUCAGUGAGAGCAGUAGUAGAAGUAAGAGAGGCUUUCAGUAUGCUACAAGCCUGCACCAACACAAUUCAUCUCAACAUCUAAACAUAUAUACAAAAUCAAUCAAAUGAUACAGAUUUCAAAUUGUAUUACCUCUUUCAAUCCAAUUCGCAGCUCCAUUUCUUUUACAUCAGAUAUUGAGAUUUUCUUCUCCCUGAGACUGGAAAGGAUCGAGACAAUACAAAAAGGCAACACAGUUAAGUCAUCCUUUACCUGAUAAGUCCGUGGUCCUCGAAGAUAUCUCCCUUGGCCAUUGGGAAACUUAAGAGAAGAAAACAAAAAUAGUUUUUCAAGGUAAAAAGGAGGCAAUGAUUCUUCGGUGAGGGGAAGAAUGUGGUUUUGAGAUAUACAACCAUGUGGCAAAUUGGACUCCAUUAGCCUCUUUUUUGUAUGUGAGCUCUUGAAAUACUUGCAAUUUCUAGGAUCAGCUGUGCUCCGGUAAAGGUUGUCUAUAGCCUUAACACAUGUUUCGCCUCCAAGAAGAUGCUCAGCUCCUCCUAGUGGGAUAUGAAGGAAACUAAAUAGAAACUCCACAAAAUCUUCCUUAGCUUGAGCAUACAAAAACUUGCCGGUAGAUUUUUGUAUAAUCACUUUCAAACUUAAAGCCCUAGAGUUGGCAUUUUCUUCUUCAAUAUUUAGUUGAGAUUCCACUGUUGAAGAGUUCAUCUGUAUUGUUUUAUUCAAUAUGAGGUCCGACAAUGGAGUUGGAGACGUCAAGGAUGCCUUUAACAGGUUCAUAAUCUAAACAAAAUACACAAUUAAUAAGCCAUGAAAACACAGAAUUGAAGAAGAUUGAGAUUAGAGAGUCAAGAAUCACCUCAUUGAACCCUAAAUCAACUUUGAUCAACUCAGCCUUAGGGGUGGCACGGUACGGUAUACCUUAUUAAAUCGACCAUACCUUAUACCUUACCUUUACCUCCGGUAUGGAGAAAAUUNAGUAGAUGUAAGAGAGGCUUUCAGUAUGCUGCAAGCCUGCACCAACAAAAUUUAUUUCAGCAUCUAAACAUACAUUCAGAAAUAUAACAACCAAGAUUUCAAAUAUACAGUUUAAUCACCUCUUUCAGCCCUAUUUGCAUCUCCACUUCUUUGACAUCAGAUAUCGAGAUUUUCUGCUCUUUAAGAGAGGAAAGUGUCGAGGAAAAGCAGAAAGGCGUAACAGUUAAAUCAUCCGCCACGUGAUAAGUUGGGGAUCCUUUUAGAUAACUUCCCUGCCCAUUGGGAAACUUAACCGAAGAUAACAAGUUCAGAUAAUCAUUGUACUCAGCAGGCAAGCAUUCUUCAGCGAGGGGGAAAAUGCAGUGUGCUGAAAUGUAGCCAUGAGGUAGAAUGGGUGUCAUUAGCCUCUUUUUUCGUAUCCGGGGUAAUGAAAUGCUUGCUAUCUGCAAGGUCGGAUGUGCUCCGGUACAAGUUGUCUAUAGCCUUAACACAAGUGUUACCGGCAAGAAGAUGCUCAACUCCAACCAAUGGGAUGUAGAGGAACUAAACAGAAACUCCACAAACUGUUUAUUUGCUUGAGCAUACGCAACCUUACCAGUAGAUUGUUGUAUCAUCACUUUCAAUCUUAAAUUCCUCGAGUUGUUUGGAUUCUCUUCCUCUGUAGUGUGUGGUUGAGUCACCAUGAAUUUAGAGUAAAUCAGCUGUGUUGUUUUAUUUAGGAUGAUGUCCGACAAUGGAGUUGGGGACGUCAAGGAAGCCUUCAACAAAUUCAUAAUCUAACAAUAACAUGAUAUACACAAAUUAAAUAAAUAACUAGUUAUAACAAAGAUUGAGAUUAGAGAAAACCAAAAAUUACCUCAGUGAAGCCCAAAUCCACCUUGAUUUGCUCGGCGUUAUCCAUGUCUGUAAUGCCAAGAUAGCUAAUGACGCCUAAGAGUCCUGUCUCACUUGGAAAUAUGUGGAGAUCAUCAGAUAUUAAGAAAGAUGAUGUAUUCAUGGUGAAAACUCCAUCUCUAGAUGCAGCAGCUUCAGAUCCUUUCUCAACUACUUCUAUUUUCAUAGCAUCAUUAUAUGAGCAAAAUUUGCACCUCUUGACAUGAUCAUAGAAGAUGCUUACGCUACGAAAUCUAAAAGACUGAGGGUGAUAGAAACAAUAGAAAUAUUCAGCAGGCUGAAAAUCAGUGAUGUCGAGUUUCAGCCUCCCGUAUUCAUCUUCCAAUGAACUUGUUGGAUCAAGCAGAGUCUGCUUAGCUCCAUCAGUCCAGACGUAGGAACUGUCGAGAUUUACUAAGCUACGGUAUAAACUGCUUAAGCUACCAAUGGAAGGCGCCUCGUCUCCAUAGUGCUUCUCGAGGACUUUCACAAUUCUUCCCAAUGGCAAACUCAAGAAGCUUAACAAAAUGUCUGCAAAAUGGCUGUCGGAGUCUGCAAAGAGUACCUUAGUUCUCUCUUUAUUGAUCAUCACUUUCAACGAAAAUGUAGCACCCUUUUUAUCAUCAGUCAUUCUUGAAUUUGAUACAGAAGUCGUCACUGCACUAAUUAGUUUAUAUGUGUAUUGAUCUAAUAGUAGAAUAUAAUUAAUGUUUGAGGUUAAAGGUAUCAAGAUUGCUAUUUGGACAUAAUAUGUUCAUAUAUAAAAUGGUCAAAUAUAUAAAAAUCGAUUAAUUUAAAAAUUUUGGCUCAAAAUAAAAAAGGAUUAAUUUAGUUAAUUAAAAAUAAAGACAGCUACAAUGUGAACAAAAUUUUAAAACUAGCUAAUUUUUUUUUAUUUUUUUAAAUCGAAAAUUUUAUAUUAAUUUUAUUUUGUAUAUAUUCAUUCAUGACCCAAAAAAACCCAUCUUUUCGUCAAAUUCUGUCAUUAUUCAAAACCAAAAUCUAGUUUCCUGAGAGUCCAAUUAAAUCCUUCAUAAAGACUAAAAGAAGCUCGAAUUAAACAUCUCUUACUCGGGUAAUUCUAUCUAUAUCAAAGCCUAUUUUUCAGAAAAAUUAAAAUUUAGUGUAUUUUAUUUCAAAUUUUAAAGAUUGCGAGCAAAAUCAAAAUCCGUCUAAAUUUUAUGUAUUUUGUGGCAAUUUACCCAUAAACAUAGUAGUAAUUAACUAAUUAAUAAACAAUUAAAAAUAGACACAGUGUGAACAAGAGAUGAAUAAGUCAAGAAUUACCUGAUUUCCAAAUUUAUAAAAAUUGGGGAUUUUCAAGAGAAAAAAGACAGAUUUUCAAGUCAACCCAGAAGAAAAUAUGUUGUUGGAUGAGGGUGGCUGAGCUCGCGGCGGAGGAAGAAGAGAGGAGUGGAUAGAUGAGUGAGAGAGAAGCACUGUCAUUAUUUGGCUACUAAAGCAAAAUGGAGCAAACAGUUGAGCUAUGCCAUUGGCGAAUCUUUGCUUUUUCACUUUUUUUUUAAACUUCUUUUUCUGUUUUUCAACUUUUUCUUUUCCAUGUUUUUGGUUUGUCGGUUUCACAAAAAGUACUAUUGCAUGACUUUAUUUGACGCAAUUGUAAUUUAAUACUCCGUGCGCCAAAAUUAGACUACUUUGGUUGAGCACGAAAUUUAAUAAAAUUGGUGAUGAUUUUGAUGUAGUGGAGAAAAUGUCCCACCACUUUAUUAGAUGUGUGGUUGAGAUUGAAUUUGGGCUAGUUUUUUUUGUAAAUAAAAAGUGUUUGUAAGGAUAAAAGAUUAAAGUAGGUAGUAGGACCAUUUCCAUAAAAGGAAAGUGGUAUGCUUUUUGCGGACGCUCAAUAUAAUAAAAAUGGUCUACUUUUGGCGGACGGAGGGAGCAUGUUUGAACAAAAAAGUAGUUAAAUACUUUAACAAAUAUAUUUAUUUAAAACUUUUGAUUAAAAAAAUAGUUAUUUUUAUUAUUUUCUCCAUAUUUUAUUUUAUAAUUUUUAAUAUUUUAUUUAAAAAUUGUUAUUUUUAAAGAGCAUAAAAAUUACAAAUAAAAAGUAAAAAUUAAAAUAGCACCUUAGAUUUCUCUCUAUUGAUCAUCACUUUCAACGAAAACGUAGCAUUCUUGUUCUUGUUUUUCUCAGACAUUUUGGUGGAGGCGAAGAUUUUUCUACAAUUCUAUUUUCUUAUUUGUGAAACAUCAACCUUUCAAGUUCAACCAUAUUAAUAUUCCAUUUUCAGGUGUCUUGAAAUUCGGAAUUUGUUGCUGGUUAAUCAAUUUUAAUUAGGAGUGAAUGCAGAAGGUGUGGCUUUUAGUGGGACUAGUGACUCUUGGUUAACUCCUUCCUCAUAAACAAGGGAGUGAAUGUAGAAAAAAAUCGAAUUAGUAUCUUCAUCUGUUAUUUAGAUCUAAAUCCAAACACAGCCAAAUAUAAAACCUAGUAUUAAAAAAGUGACUUGUUUUACAAAAUUUGAUUUGCCUAUUAUAUCCCUCAUAUAUACUUAGAUUAAGGUUAAUUGUGUAAUUUAAUAUAUUAUACUUAUAAUAUAUCUAUAAAUAUAUUAUGGUUUAUCUUUUAUAUUUUAAUAGCUAUUUAAGUAGUAGUAUCCAUUAGGACUCUUCAUCAUAUAAGUUAUUAUUUUUUUAUUACAUAAUUAUAAUAAUUUAGAAUUAAAAUACAAAGGAUUACUUAAGUAAUAGUAUCCAUUAGAAUUAGUAAAUCGAAAGAUUUCAGCGAGUCCUCUCUUUUAUGGGGGAAGAAGUUAACCGAAGAGUCGUUAAUUAGUCCUCCAAAUUCCAAGACACUCUACAAAUUACAAGAAUCAUUAGAGAAAUUAACCAAGCGCCGCUAGUCCCACCAAAUUCCAAGACAUAAACUUGUUAAAUAGGUUUGAUUUAUUUAAUUUAUUUUUUAAAAUAAAAAUAAUUAUUAUUUUUCCUUAUAUUGUUUAUAUUUUAUUUAUUUUUUGUAAUUUUUUAUUUUUUUAGAAAUAAAAUAGAAAAGUGCAAAAAAAAAGGUACAAUUAAUAUAGACAAUACAAUAAAUUAGUUAAAAGCUAUUUUUAAUUUUAAAAAUAAACUAAAUAAAUCAAAAAAAUUAUCCUAUUGAACUAAUUUGUGAGUGGUCCUGAUGUGAUUGCAUAUAUUUAUUGUUUGGUUGAUUUCCCGGUUUUAUUUACGAUUAAAAAAGUGAAGUAGAAGUAUCUCUUCCAACUAAAUUACCGAUUUUGUGUGUAGGUGGAAUACAAUUUAAAUUUGAAUAAGUUUCAUUUUAAACGUAGGUUAUAGAAAUUUGAUGCAUGCAUGUGAUUUUCUUUAUAGGUGUAUUGAGUGAUGUCACACAAUUCUUUAUUCUUUUGAAUUAUUGAAUGAAUUAUAUGUGACAACAAUUUCAUAAAUAUUAGGAGAUCAAAUGAAUUCUUGCUGCUUAAUUCCAAGUUAGCUGCGGACGUUUAAUUUUGUAUCUCAUAAAGAGAGUGAAUGCAGAGAGUCUCGGAAUUUGGUAGGACUAAUGACUCUUAGGUUAAAGUUGUCGUUGAAAGUGAUGAUAAAUAUAGAGAGAAAUGAGGUACACAAUAUAUAUUUCGAAUUUUUACUCAUCCUACUCCAAUAACAUUUAUGAUAAUUCUUAUUUCAACAAACAAAUAAUAGUUACUCCAUCUCAUAUAUUGUGCAACUUAAAUUUUUUUAUACUCAUAUAGUAUUAAAUAAUUAAUUAAAUUUUAAAUAUAAACCAGUUAGGUGAUAAAAUGCAUCUCAUCUAGCUGCUUAAUUCGAAGCUAGCUACUGCAUGGAGUUUAAUUUGAUUUAGUAUCACAUAAAGAGAGCGAAUGCAGACAGAGACGGAUCUAAAGGCCGGGCAGCCUCGGCGGUCGCCCGGUCAUUUUUUUAUUACCUAUAUAUAUAUAUAUAUAUAUAUAUAUAUAUAUAUUAUUAUUUANNNNNNNNNNNNNNNNNNNNNNNNNNNNNNNNNNNNNNNNNNNNNNNNNNNNNNNNNNNNNNNNNNNNNNNNNNNNNNNNNNNNNNNNNNNNNNNNNNNNNNNNNNNNNNNNNNNNNNNNNNNNNNNNNNNNNNNNNNNNNNNNNNNNNNNNNNNNNNNNNNNNNNNNCACUUUAUAAAUAGCUUUCAACUUCUUUAUUUUUCCAAUGUGGGAUGACACUCCACAUUUCCAUCUUCAAUGGCUAUCUUUGGGCAUUAAUUACUCAUUCAAUUCUUAAUAGAUUUGAACAAGUAAAUAUACCAAAUUAAUCUACUCAAAAUGUAGAUUCCAAAUAUACCAUUUAAUUCCAUUAAUUACAAAGUAAUUAUGGACUAAUAAAAGCCAUUUAUUCCAACAAUAUAUAACAACUAAGAUUUCAAAUGAUACAGGUUACCUCUUUCAGCCCGAUUUGCAUCUCCACUUCUUUGACAUCAGAUAUCGAGAUUUUCUGCUGUUUAAGAGAGGAAAGUGUCGAGGCAAAGAAGAAAGGCGUAACAGUUAAAUCAUCGGCCACGUGAUAAGCUGGCGAUCCUUUAAGAUAACUUCCCCGCCCAUUGGGAAACUUGACAGAAGAAAACAUCGAUAUAUUAUCAUAGUCAGCAGGCAAGGAUUCUUCAGUGAGGGGGAAAAUGUAGUCUUUCGAAAUGUAGCCAUGAGGUAGAAUGGGAGUCAUUAGUCUCUUUUUCGUAUCCGGGGUAAUGAAAUGCUUGCUAUCUGCAAGGUCGGAUGUGUUCCGGUACAAGUUGUCUAUAGCCUUAACACAAGUGCUACCGGCAAGAAGAUGCUCAACUCCUACCAAUGGGAUGUAGAGGAAACUAAACAGAAACUCUACAAACUGUUUAUUAGCUUGAGCAUACGCAACCUUACCAGUAGAUUGUUGUAUCAUCACUUUCAAACUUAAAUUCGUAGAGUUAUUUGGAUUCUCUUCCUCUGUAGUGUGUGGUUGAGACACCAUGAGUGUAGAGUAAAUCAGCUGUGUUGUUUUAUUUAGGAUGAUGUCCGACAAUGGAGUUGGGGACGUCAAGGAUGCCUUCAACAAAUUCAUAAUCUAACUAACAUGAUAUACACAAAUUAAAUAAAUAACUAGUUAUAACAAAGAUUGAGAUUAGAGAAAACCAAAAAUUACCUCAGUGAAGCCCAAAUCCACCUUGAUUUGCUCGGCGUUAUCCAUGUCUGUAAUGCCAAGAUAGCUAAUGACGCCUAAGAGUCCUGUCUCACUUGGAAAUAUGUGGAGAUCAUCAGAGAUUAAGAAAGAUGAUGUAUUCAUGGUGAAAACUCCAUCUCUAGAUGCAGCAGCUUCAGAUCCUUUCUUAACUACUUCUAUUUUCAUAGCAUCAUUAUAUGAAGCAAAAUUUGCACCUCUUAACAUGAUCAUAGUAGAUGCUUACGCUACGAAAUCUAUAAGACUGAGAGUGAUAGUAGGAUAUUUACAAUAGAAAUAUUCAGCAGGCUGAAAAUCAGUGAUGUCGAGUUUCAGCCUCCCGUAUUCAUCUUCGAAUGAACUUGUUGGAUCAAGCAGAGUCUGCUUAGCUCCAUCAGUCCAGAAAUAGGCACUGUCGAGAUUUGCUAAGCUACGGUACAAACUGCUUAAGCUACCAACGGAAGGCGGCUCGUCUCCAUAGUGGUGGUCGAGGAUUUUGACAAUUCUUCCCAACGGCAAAGUCAAGAAGCUUAACAAAAUGUCUGCGAAGUGGCUGUCGGAGUCUGCAAAGAGUACCUUAGUUCUCUCUUUAUUGAUCAUCACUUUCAACGAAAAUGUAGCACCCUUUUUAUCAUCAGCCAUUCUUGAAAUAUAUAUGUGGUACAAACAAAGAAAUAUUUGAACAAUGUAAUCGGAAGAUUUCAGCAAACCCUCCAUUUUUAUGGGGGAAGAAGUUAACCUAAGAGUCGUUAGUUUAGUGCCUCCAAAUUCCAAGAAUCGUUAGAAAAAUUAACCAAGCGCCACUAGUCCCACCAAAUUCCAAGACCCAUCGGAUUGUAUUUGAUUAACUUCCCAAUUUUAAAAAAUAAAAAAAAAAAAUAAAAAAAAUCGAUCUAUUUUAGAUUGGAAAAGUGAAGUAGAAGUACCUCUUCCAACUAAUUAAAUUACCGAUUUAGUGUCAAUAUAGACCACAAUUUAAAUUUAAAUAAGUUUCAUUUUAGAUAUAGGUUUACAAAUUUGAUGCAUGCAUGUGAUAACAAUUUCAUAAUUUUUUUUUUGAAACAAUUUCAUAAAUAUUAGGAGAUCAAAUGCAUCCCAUAUGUAGCUGCUCAAUUCCAAGUUAGCUACUGACGUUUAAUUUGAUUUUGUAUCUCAUAAAGAGAGUGAAUGCAAGGAGUCUUGGAAUUUGGUGGGACUAAUGACUCUUAGGUUAACUUCUUCCCCAUAAAAAGGGAGGGUUUGGUGAAAACUAUCGAUUACAUUAUUAUCUCAAGAAUGUCUGAUGUUGAGAAGGAUGUCAAGUUGUCGUUGAAAGUGAUGAUAAACAAAGAGAGAAAUGAGGUACUCUUUGCAGAAGCCGACAACCAUUUCACAGACAUUUUGUUAAGCUUCUUGAGUUUGCCGUUGGGAAGAAUUUUCAAAGUCUUCAAGAAGCACUAUGGUGAUGAGCUUCCUACCAUUGGAAGCUUAAGCAGUUUGUACCAUAGCUUAACAAAUCUUGAUAGCGCCCAUUUUGUGACGGAGGGUGCUAAGCAGACUCUGCUCAGUCCAACCAGUUUAUUUGAAGAUGAAUACAAAAGGCUGAAACUCGAUAUCACUGAUUCUCCGCCUGCUGAAUAUUUCUAUUGUUCAUCCUGUUACCCUCAUGAUAGAUUUCAUAUUAUAAGCAUGUACUAUGACUCUGUUGAGCGUUGCAAAUGUUACCGUAGUAUGAUGAAAGAAGUAGCUAAAAAAGGGUCUGAAGCAGCUAGUGAUGGAGUGUUUACUAUACGUAAAGCAUCUUUCACAAUCUCUGAUGAUCUUCAAAUAUUUCCAAAUGAGAUUGGACUCCUACCAAUCACCACCCUUCUUGGCAUUACAGAUGCCCAUAAGGCUGAGGAAAUCAAAGUGGAUCUUGGCUUCAAUGAGGUGAUUUCUUGAAUAUUCUCUAAUUAAUCUCAAUCUUUGUUAUAACUAGUUAUUUAUAUUUUGUCAUUUUUGUGUUUAUAUGGUUGUUAGAUUAUGAAUUUGUUGAAGGCUUCCUUGACGUCCCCAACUCCAUUGUCGGACGUAAUCCUGAAUAAAACAACAACACAGAUGAACUCUGCAAAGAUUCCGUUGCAUGAGAUUGUAGAGAAAAAAAACCCCAAUUCUAGGAAUUUAAGUUUGAAAGUCACCAUACAAAAAUCUACAGGUAAGUUUCUGUAUGCUCAAGCUAAGGCAGAUUUUAUGGAGUUUCUAUUUGGUUUCUUCAACAUCCCACUAGGAGGAGUUGGGCAUCUUCUUGCUGGCAAGACUGGUUUCAAGGCUAUAAACAACUUGUAUCGGAGCACAACUGACCUUAUAAACGACAAGUAUUUCAAGACCUCGGAUAUGAAAAGAAGGCUAAUGAAACCCAACUUGUUUCAUGGUUGCACUUCCAAAAACAACAUUCUUGCUCUUGUCGAAGAACCCUUGCCUGAUGACUUCGAUAAAGCUGAAUUUUCUUCAGUCAAGUUUCCCAAAGGGAAGGGUAGGUAUCUUGAAGGAGCAGCAACUUAUAAGGUGACAGAUGACUUAACUGUGACCCCUUUUUGCACUGUCUCCAUUCUUUCUACUCUGAAUAGCUUGAAAAUCCCAAUAAAUGACGUCGAAGAAAGGGAUCUGCAAAUCGGAUUGAAAGAGAUAAUCAUUGAAUCUUUUUAUAAAUGAUUUUUUUUAGCAUAUUUUGAGAUGAAGUUUGUUGGUGCAGGGCUUGAGCAUACUGAAAGCUUCUCUUACAUCCACUUCUGCUCUCACAGAUUCUCUCCUCAGUCAUAAAUCGAGCAAGAAACGGAAGAAAGAACUCGCAGGCUGAUCCUUGGUUGCAACUAUUACAAAUAUUAGCAACUCUAUAUAUGGUGCUUAUAUUUGCUUUUGCUUUUUAUUGUGAUCCUAAUAUUUUCAAGGACCUAUUUUUCAUAUGCAAGUUACUGUUUUUGUUUCUGUGUUGUCCUUAUAUGAGAGAAAGCAUACUCUUGAAAUUACUUCUAAUUUAUUGACAAUAUUGCCUCGCUCACAUGAUCAGACGAAUCCACCCUAAAAAAUAACUACUGAAACUUGAAAAAAUUUACACUAAACUUGCAAAUAAUAAAAAGAUUUUCUUUUUCAUUUCUUGGAAUCGUGCAACAGGCUGAUAUCGAGGAUGAGAUCUAGUGUACCAUAAACGAUGUCUCAUUCCAUGUCUCACUAUUAAAAUGACGUAGUUUUAAUUAUAACUCUAAUAUGUACAUAAUUGAUAUCAUCAUUCUAAAGUAAAGGAAGGAAUUACACAAAAAAUCAUAUGGUUCUUUUGCUUCCCAAUUUGUUCUUCUACUCAAAUCCAAAUCAUUCUGCCGGUAAGGCUUGUGUUAAGGCUAUAGACAACAUGUAUUAGAACACAUGUGAAUAUAUGGAUAACGUAUCUCAUAACCUCGGAUACGAAGAAGAGGAUAAUAAAACCUAAUGUGGUUCAUGGCUGUAUAGAGAGAAACACUUACAUCCCCUUCUGUUCUCACCGAUGAUCUCCUAACUCGCACAUCGAAUAAACAAAUAAUUGGAGAAGUAUGAGUUUGAUCCACACAACAAUUUUGCUGCAUAAUUAUAUAACUAAUAUUGUUUGCUUAUGUUAAUAGCUAUGGUUCUUAAAUUAAACAAUCUUCAUAGUGUAUUAUGAGAGUUAUGCAUCUAUUGAUCUCUUUGAUGAUGCAUUGUUUAAAUCAUUUAAAAAUUCAAUAAAAUACAUUAUUUCAAAUGUUUACUCAUCCUAACCCAAUAACAUGUACGAUAAUUCUUAUUUCAACAAACGAACAAUAGGUACUCCAACUCAUAAAUUCUAAUUAGCAAAAUAUUACUUAUAGAUUUUCGUUUUUGUGACUUCCUAUCAUAUCUGGGCUCGGAUCACAAAGAAGGAUGACAAUGGGCUCAUAUCUACAUUUGGUCUAGAUCCAUUAACUUUGAAAAAAAAAUUAAAUAUAGGUCAAAAUUCAUAAAAUCCACAACUAAUUUAUGUAAUUCGAUUAAUUUAUUUAAAUUGGUUAUUGCAAUUGAAGUUAGCAAAAAUAAAUAAAGGAUAAAUCCUUUCGGAUCAAAUUGAUCCGAAUCAAUGAUAAUAAUAUUGUCAAAAUAUUUAAAUUGAAAAUGUAUCUUACCUUAAAUGCCCUUAAUAAAAAUUUAGAAUUCAAAAUAUUAAAUUUAUUAUUCAUAUACAUAAAUUCAAAUGUUUUUCCAUUUUUCUAGGCCAUUAAUUGAAUUCGUAAAUAUAAAAAUUGUACGUUAGUCUCCUUAAAUUUAUGAACUUAAUUAAAUGAAUUUAUGAUUAUAACAAUUUCGGUUAGUCUAUCAAUAAAAUUAUGAAUCUUCUUCCAAGUCUCCUGAGCUUUAUGCAAAGUAUCACGAUUGCAUCGAACGAAAAUUUAAACGAAUAAUCAACUAAAAAUUAAUUAAAAUGGCGAAUCUUCUUCCAAGUUAGACUCUGGUGGGACGACGUUUGGUUAGUUUCUCUAUCUCGUAAAAAGGUAGUGAUAUCAAUGCGUAGAAUCUUGGAAUUUGGUUGGACUAAUGACUCUUUGGUGGGUUAAUUUCUUGCCUUAAAAAAAAGCGAGGGUUUGCAGACAAAUCUUGAUAGCAAUCUAAGUUUUCAUCUCCAUUACCACAAAUAUUACUAAUUUUCUACACAUUUUAGCAGAAUGUCUGAUGCUAAUAAAGAUGUCAAGUUGUCGUUGAAAGUGAUGAUGAAUAAAGAUAAAACUAAGGUUCUCUUUGCAGAAGCCGACGGCCAUUUUAUAGACAUUUUGUUAAGCUUCUUGACUUUGCCGUUGGGAAGAAUUAUCGAAAUCUUCCACAACCAGUAUGGAGAAAAGGCACCCACCAUUGGAAGCUUAAGCAGUUUGUAUCGUAGCUUAGAAAAUCUCGAUGACGCCCACUUUGUGACGGAGGCUGCUCAGCGGGCUCUGCUCUAUCCAAUCAGUUCAUUUGAAGAUGCAUACAAAAGGCUGAAACUGGACAUCACUGAUUCUCUGCCUGAGAAGUAUUUCUGCUGUUUCUUAGCCUCUCAUGGUAGAUUUCCUAGUUUAAGCAUCUACUAUGAUAAUCUCACUUGCAGAAUCUGUGGCAAUAUGAUGAGAAAAGAAGCAGCUAAAAACCUAUCUAGAGCUUCUUCGAGUGAUGGAGUGUUCACGAAAAGUAAAGCAUCUUUCACAAUCUCCGGUGAUCUGCAAAUAUUUCCAAAUGAAAUUGGGCUCCUACCAUUCAUCACCCUUCUUGGCAUUACAGACGCGCAUGAGGCGGAGGAAAUCCAAGUGUCGUUUGGGUUCGAUGAGGUGAUUCUUGUUUCUUUAAUCUCAAUUUUCCACCUUUUUUUUGGGAUUAAUUGGUUAUAAUCCAGAAAGGGGUUAGUGCCUAGAUUAGAAUCGUAAUUUUAGGAAAAUUUCGAAAAUAAUCCAAGUUGAUCAUGGCUUUGUUAGUUUGUUUACUAAUCUAUACCUAUAAAAUUUGAUUCGUCUAUAAUAUCUGUCAUAUAUAUUUAUUUUAAGGUUAAUUGUGUAUUUUAAUAUUUUUUAUAUAUAAUAAAUCUAAAAAAAUAAGUUAUGAUUUAUAUUUUAAUUAGUAUUUAAGUGGUAGUACCUAUUAGGACUCUUCAUCCACAUAAAUUACUGUUCUUUAUUCUCUAAAGUUAGUAAUUUAGAAUCACAGUAUUACUUAAUACUAGUUUUAUUAGAAGAAUUCUUGGAUUAAAAUUAAUUAUAUAAAGAUGAAACCUAGAAAACAAACAUGAAUUUUAUAUACUUUUAUUUUUGGUUAUGUUUUUUUCUGUGGACGUCCAAAAUUAGUUGGUACUUAAUAAAUUAAAAUUAAAUUUCAUACAAAAUUUAGAUAUUACAUAACUUUUAAAAAAUUAUUGUCAUAAAAGUUACUCCCUCUUUCCACGAAAGAAUUUCCUAUCUUUCCUUGUUGGGAUGUCCACAAAAGAACUUCCUAUUUAUUUUUGGACUAUACCCCACCACUUAUGAUCUUCUUACUUUUCAAUUUUCACAACUCUCAAUAUUAAUUAUAACACUUUUUCACCACUUCUAGUACACUCAACUACCUUUUAUCCACUCUCAAUACACUCAACAAUAUUUUUUCUUAAAAUUCAUGUCACUUCCUCCUAGAAAGUUCUUUUAUGGACGGAGGGAGUGCUAUAUAGUAUUAAAGUAAUUCAUUUUUACGGGCAAACACAAUCAUUUCUGCUAGUAAUCUAUAUAAAUUUGUAGCCGAUUAACCCUUUUUUUUUUAAUGAGAUGUUAGAUUAUGGACUUGUUGAAGGCAUCAUUGACGUCGCCAACUCCAUUGUCGGACCUCAUCCUACGUAAAAAAACAAAGAGUUCAACUGCAGCUAUUUCAAUGCAUGAAAUUGUGAACGAGAUAAACCCCAAGUGUAGGAAUUUAAGUUUGAAAUUGAUGAUACGAAAAUCCACCGGUGAGCUUUUGUACGCUCAAGCUCAGGAAGAUUUCGUAGAGUUUCUAUUUGGUUUGCUCACCAUUCCACUAGGAGGAUUGGAGCAUCUUCAAGCCGGCAAGUCUUGUUUUACGGCGAUAAACAACUUGUAUCGGAGCACGGCUGAACUAGACGACAAGUAUUUCAAGACCUCGGAGACGAAGAAGAGGCUUAUGAAUCCCCAUUUGCCUCAUGGUUGCAUCUCCCCAAACCAGAUUCUUCCCCUCACUGAAGAAUGCUUGCCUGCUGAGUACAUUGAUAAUCUCUCGCUCUUUUCUUCGGUUGCGUUUCCUGAAGGCCAGGGAAGAUAUCUCGAGCGACCAACAACUUAUUUGGUGAGCGAUAAUUUGACUGUGACUCCUUACUUUACUGUUUCUGCUCUUUGCCGUAUGAAUAAGGAGAAGAUUCCGAUAUCUGAUGUUGAAGAAAUGCAGCUGCAAAUUGGAUUGAAAGAGGUAAAUACAACUUUGAUAGCUUUUAAUUGUAUAUAUGUUUAGAUGUUGAGAGCAAAUUUGUUGAUGGGUGCAGGCUUUGAGCAUACUGAAAGCUUCUCUUACAUCCACCACAGCUCUCUCCGAUGCUCUGCUCAAUACUUACCCGUCGCACAAACGACAAAAGAAAUAAUUUUGAUUGCAUCGUUUGAAUGUCCCUUGAUGGAAAAUAAUAAUGAGCUUAUGAAAGCUAGUAUUGUAGACAUAAUUUAUGAGUUUUCAAAGAAGUAUUCUCUUGUGCCAGUUAAUUAAGAUCUUCGAGUCUAAAAUAGACGUCUUAAUUUUGUUAUUUGUUCAUUCAUUAAAAACUCUGAUUUUGCUAAUAUCACUGUGGAUCUAGUUUCCACCAAUUUAUAUUUUAUUCAUAUUUAAUAUAAAUUAAUUUCAAAGCUAUUUCUAAUUAAUAUAAAAAAAAUUUAUUAUUUUAUAAAUAUUGUAUAACAAAAUUAACAAAAUUAGUAAUUAUUUUAGUUUUUACUUUUUAUUUGUAAUUUUUAUGCUUUAAAAAUAAUAAUUUUUAAAAAAAUUAUAAAAAUUACAAAAAUAAUAAUUAGCAACUAUGGUGCUUAUGUUUGCUUUUGUUUUUUCAUAUGAUCCUAGAUAUUCCAGUCACUUAGACCUUUUCUUCAUAUGCAAAUUAUUUGUUUUUUGUUUCUGUAGAAAGCAUAAUCUUGAAAGUUAUACAACUAAAAUCGAACUGUCAAAUGGAAUUACUCCAAUUUAAAAUGUCGAAAUAUUCAUUGACAAUAUAUACUACCUCGCUAACAAAAUCAGAGCAAUCCACAACUAAAAAUAACUACUGAAACUUGAAAUAGUUUACACUAAACUUGCGACGAAUGGAAAAAAAAUAAGAUUUCCUUUUUCAUUUGUUGGAAUCCCACACCAUGUCCAACUAUCAAAACCAUCUGACAUUUAAACAAAAUCAUGUUUAUAUUCCAAAAAUUAUUAUUUCUCACACCCGAAAGAUGACGGGUGAUAUCUGAUGUAGCCUAAAUAUUUGAAAGCUAUAGUGAAUAAAGAGAUGCAACGUGCUACGAUUGUGAGAAUCUUGAAGAAGCACUAUUUGAAUCUCUGAAUAUCUAGUUGUAGUGAUUUCUGGUUAUAUCAUUUUUUGCAUUUUCGUUUUAUGUUUUGUGGUAUAUGCAUAUUAAGAGCAUCCCUUACAUCUGAUUAUGAUUCUGCUUGGCAUUAUCAUAAAAUCUGAGGCACAAAAAAUCUCUCUUUUGUAAGAAGUCAUUAAUUAUUUCAAGUUCCACGGCCGUGAGUUCAAUUUUCAUUUGAUUGGAUAUUUAGUCUGGUUCUUGUAUUGUGAGCAUUCAGUAUGAAAUAGUGAUUAAAUUAUGAAAUUACAUUGUGAAACGAACAAUUUGAACAUACAAAAAGUGAAAUAGUUUUAAAAUGAUGAAUGGAAAAACAAGAACCAUAGUUAAAACAACAUAAAAGCACAAUGCAAAGCUAUGAAUUUAAGCCAACAAUGUCACAUUUAUGAGCAGCAAAACAAGAUCUAAAAGCAUGGAUCACACUCAGACUUCUCUCUUUGGUUGUUUGAUUGAUAUGUGACUCAAUAGAGCAUCAGAAAGAGCAGAAGUGGAUGUAAGAGAGGCUUUCAGUAUGCCCAAAGCCUGCACAAAAGAAGACAAAAUCAACAUGUAAACAUAUGCUCAAUCAUGCACAAAUAAACUCGAAGCAAACGAGAUAGUAUUUGCAUAUAGAAAAAAGAUUCAAACGAAUGGAAAAUCAAGAUACAUAACUUAAAAUAACAAUGAAGCACACAAUAACUAUUAAUAUAACAUAUAAGCCAAUAUUUGCAACAUAAAUAGGAAGAAUGGAUAUCACACUUCUCUCUUUGGCUGUUUGAUUGAUUUGCCACUCAGAAGAGCAUCAGUGAGAGCAGUAGUAGAAGCAAGAGAGGCUUUCAGUAUGCUGCAAGCCUGCACCAACACAUUUUAUCUCAACAUCUAAACAUAACUAAAUAUAACAACCAAGAUUUUAAAUGAAAGUUUACCUCUUUCAGCCCUAUUUGCAUCUCCACUUCUUUGACAUCAGAUAUCGAGAUUUUCUGCUGUUUAAGAGAUGAAAGUGAUGAGGCGAUGCAAAAAGGUGUAACGGUUAAAUCAUCAGCCACGUGAUAAGUUGGAGAUCCUUUAUGAUAACUUCCCUUCCCAUUGGGAAACUUAACAGAAGAAAAAUGGCUUCUAUCAUUGUAGUCAGCAGGCAAUCUUUCUUCAAUGAGAGGGAAAAUGUGGUCUUUCGAAAUAUAGCCAUGAGGUAGAAUGGGAGUCAUUAGCCUCUUUUUCGUAUCCGGGGUAAUGAAAUGCUUGCUAUCUAUAAGGUUGGAUGUGUUCCCGUACAAGUUGUCUAUAGCCUUAACACAGGUGUUACCGGCAAGAAGAUGCUCAACUCCUCCCAGUGGGAUGUAGAGGAAACUAAACAGAAACUCUACAAACUGUUUCUUAGCUUGAGCAUACAAAAACUUACCAGUAGAUUGUUGUAUCAUCACUUUCAAACUUAAAUUCCUAGAGUUAUUGGGAUUCUCUUCCUUUCGCA